AACGCACCUUGCGCUCCUUGGUAUUCCGAGGAGCAUGCCUGUUUGAGUGUCAUUAAAUUCUCAACCUCACCACCUUUUGUUGUGUGAAGGCUUGGAUUUGGAGGCGUGCAGGUCCACACUUUUAGUGGUCUGCUCCUCUGAAAUGUAUUAGUGGGUUGGGCCCUCUAAUCUAUUGGUGUGAUAAUUAUCUACGCCGUGGAUUUGGGAAGCUACAUCAGACCUGCUUCUAACCGUCCUCACGGGGACAACACUUGACAAUUUUGACCUCAAAUCAGGUAAGACUACCCGCUGAACUUAA
rnacentral:misc_RNA from 1 species